UCCAGACUCCUACGGGAGGCAGCAGUGGGGAAUAUUGCACAAUGGGGGGAACCCUGAUGCAGCGACGCCGCGUGGGUGAAGGAGUACUUCGGUACGUAAAGCCCUAUCAGCAGGAAAGAAAAUGACGGUACCUGACUAAGAAGCCCCGGCUAACUACGUGCCAGCAGCCGCGGUAAUACGUAGGGAGCAAGCGUUAUCCGGAUUUAUUGGGUGUAAAGGGUGCGUAGACGGGAAAUUAAGUUAGUUGUGAAAUCCCUCGGCUCAACUGAGGAACUGCAACUAAAACUGGUUUUCUUGAGUGUUGGAGAGGAAAGCGGAAUUCCUAGUGUAGCGGUGAAAUGCGUAGAUAUUAGGAGGAACACCAGUGGCGAAGGCGGCUUUCUGGACAAUAACUGACGUUGAGGCACGAAAGUGUGGGGAGCAAACAGGAUUAGAUACCCGUGUAUA
rnacentral:rRNA from 1 species